rnacentral:rRNA from 1 species
UUUCGCCAGAGAUGAUAAUGACAGUAUCUGGUAAAGAAACCCCGGCUAACUCCGUGCCAGCAGCCGCGGUAAUACGGAGGGGGUUAGCGUUGUUCGGAAUUACUGGGCGUAAAGCGCACGUAGGCGGAUUAGUAAGUUAGAGGUGAAAUCCCAGGGCUCAACCCUGGAACUGCCUUUAAUACUGCUAGUCUUGAGUUCGAGAGAGGUAAGUGGAAUUCCGAGUGUAGAGGUGAAAUUCGUAGAUAUUCGGAGGAACACCAGUGGCGAAGGCGGCUUACUGGCUCGAUACUGACGCUGAGGUGCGAAAGUGUGGGGAGCAAACAGGAUUAGAUACCCUGGUAGUCCACACCGUAAACGAUGAAUGCCAGACGUCAGCAAGUAUACUUGUUGGUGUCACACCUAACGGAUUAAGCAUUCCGCCUGGGGAGUACGGUCGCAAGAUUAAMACUCAAAGGAAUUGACGGGGGCCCGCACAAGCGGUGGAGCAUGUGGUUUAAUUCGACGCAACGCGCAGAACCUUACCAACCCUUGA